rnacentral:rRNA from 1 species
AGUGAACGCUGGCGGUAGGCCUAACACAUGCAAGUCGAACGCGUGGCGGGCGGGUGAGGAAUACAUCGGAAUCUACUCUGUCGGGGGGGAUAACGUGGGGACACUUACGCUAAUACCACAUACGCAUGUAUGCGCCGAUGUCGGAUUAGCUAGUUGGCGGGGUAAAGGCCCUCCAAGGCGACGAUCCGUAGCUGGUCUGAGAGGAUGAUCAGCCACACUGGAACUGAGACACGGUCCAGACUCCUACGGGAGGCAGCAGUGGGGAAUAUUGCACAAUGGGCGCAAGCCUGAUGCAGCCAUGCCGCGUGUGUGAAGAAGGCCUUCGGGUUGUAAAGCCCUUUUGUUGGGAAAGCGGUACCCAAAGAAUAAGCACCGGCUAACUUCGUGCCAGCAGCCGCGGUAAUAC